GCUUCUGUGGUGUAGUGAGCACAAAAGGUUGUGGUUCUUUAGGCGGGUUUGAGACUCCGGGGGUC